AUUGAACGCUGGCGGGAGGCUUAACACAUGCAAGUCGAACGAGUGGCGGACGGGUGAGUAAUGCAUGGGAAUGUGACCAAUGGAGGGGGAUAACUACGGGAAAGAGUAGCUAAUACCGCGUAACAUUGGAGCAGCCCCAGUGGGAUUAGGUAGUUGGUGGGGUAAAGGCUCACCAAGGCAACGAUCCCUAGCUGGUAUGAGAGGAUGACCACCCACACUGUGACUGGUAAAAGGCCCAGACUCCUACGGGAGGCAGUAGUGGGGAAUAUUGGGCAAUGGGGGCAACCUGACGCAGCCAUGCCGCGUGAAUGAAGAAGGCCUUCGGGUUGUAAAGUGCUUUCGGUAGCGAAGCGUUAUCUGCAGAAGAAGCACCGGCUAACUACGUGCCAGCAGCCGCGGUAAUUC
rnacentral:rRNA from 1 species